rnacentral:lncRNA from 1 species
CACAUGAGAAGUGGAGGGAGGCCCUAAAGGACCUCCAGAGGGCUAACUAACCAUACCCUCAGAAGAUCGUCGAGGAGGGCACAAGUUGUCAUAGGCAUAAGAUGCUGCAGGCACAUGCUGCCUCUCGUGCGAAGAUGAGAAGAGUACAAAAUAUCAUAGGCACAAGAUGUCAUAGGUACAUGCUACCUCUCGUGAGGGCUAACUAGUCAAACCCUCAGAACACCACCGAGGAGGGCAUAAGAUGUUGUGGGCACAAGAUACCAUAGACACAUGCGACUUC